UACAGAGGGGGCAAGCGUUGUUCGGAAUUACUGGGCGUAAAGGGCGCGUAGGCGGCCUGCUAAGUCGAACGUGAAAUCCCCGGGCUCAACCCGGGAACUGCGUCCGAUACUGGCAGGCUUGAAUCCGGGAGAGGGAUGUGGAAUUCCAGGUGUAGCGGUGAAAUGCGUAGAGAUCAUGAGGAAGACCAGUGGCGAAGGCGGGUCUCUGGACAGUUCCUGACACUGAGACACGAAGGCCAGGGGAGCAAACGGG
rnacentral:rRNA from 1 species